GUAGUAUGUUAAAAUAAAAAAUAUAUAUGUUAUCUGUUCUUAUCAGCUUAACAUCUGAUAGAUCCUCCAUCGGAGGACAACAAAUGUUAAACUGAUUUUUGGAAGUGGACGGAGUGUUUUAGAGGCUUGCUCCACCUCUGUCACGGGUUGGCCCGGUAUUGCAGUACCACCGGGAUUUCGGCCCAAAUAAU